GACGAACGCUGGCGGCGUGCUUAACACAUGCAAGUCGAACGGUAAGGCCCUUCGGGGUACACGAGUGGCGAACGGGUGAGUAACACGUGGGUGAUCUGCCCUGCACUUCGGGAUAAGCCUGGGAAACUGGGUCUAAUACCGGAUAGGACCACUGCCUGCAUGGGUGGUGGUGGAAAGCUUUUGCGGUGUGGGAUGGGCCCGCGGCCUAUCAGCUUGUUGGUGGGGUGAUGGCCUACCCAGGCGACGACGGGUAGCCGGCCUGAGAGGGUGACCGGCCACCCUGGGACUGAGAUACGGCCCAGACUCCUACGGGAGGCAGCAGUGGGGAAUAUUGCACAAUGGGCGCAAGCCUGAUGCAGCGACGCCGCGUGAGGGAUGACGGCCUUCGGGUUGUAAACCUCUUUCAGCACCGACGAAGCGCAAGUGACGGUAGGUGCAGAAGAAGGACCGGCCAACUACGUGCCAGCCGCCGCCGUAA
rnacentral:rRNA from 1 species